AUUGAACGCUGGCGGCAGGCUUAACACAUGCAAGUCGAGCGGAGUGAUGGUGCUUGCACUAUCACUUAGCGGCGGACGGGUGAGUAAUGCUUAGGAAUCUGCCUAUUAGUGGGGGACAACAUCUCGAAAGGGAUGCUAAUACCGCAUACGUCCUACGGGAGAAAGCAGGGGAUCACUUGUGACCUUGCGCUAAUAGAUGGGCCUAAGUCGGAUUAGCUAGUUGGUGGGGUAAAGGCCUACCAAGGCGACGAGCUGUAGCGGGUCUGCGAGGAUGCUCCGCCACACUGGGACUGAGACACGGCCCAGACUCCUACGGGAGGCAGCAGUGGGGAAUAUUGGACAAUGGGGGGAACCCUGAUCCAGCCAUGCCGCGUGUGUGAAGAAGGCCUUAUGGUUGUAAAGCACUUUAAGCGAGGAGGAGGCUCUUUUGGUUAAUACCCAAGAUGAGUGGACGUUACUCGCAGAAUAAGCACCGGCUAACUCUGUGCCAGCAGCCGCCGUAA
rnacentral:rRNA from 1 species